rnacentral:rRNA from 1 species
UACGGAGGGUGCAAGCGUUAAUCGGAAUUACUGGGCGUAAAGCGUGCGUAGGCGGUAAGUUAAGUCUGCUGUGAAAUCCCUGGGCUCAACCUGGGAAUGGCGGUGGAUACUGGCUUGCUGGAGUACGGUAGAGGAAGGUGGAAUUCCCGGUGUAGCGGUGAAAUGCGUAGAGAUCGGGAGGAACAUCAGUGGCGAAGGCGGCCUUCUGGACCAGUACUGACGCUGAGGCACGAAAGCGUGGGGAGCAAACAGGAUUAGAUACCCUGGUAGUCCACGCCCUAAACGAUGUCAACUGGUUGUUGGGCAACUUGAUUGUUCAGUAACGAAGCCAACGCGAGAAGUUGACCGCCCGGGGAGUACGGUCGCAAGACUGAAACUCAA